rnacentral:rRNA from 1 species
CCUACGGGAGGCAGCAGUGGGGGAUAUUGCACAAUGGGGGGAACCCUGAUGCAGCGACGCCGCGUGGGUGAAGGAGCGUUUCGGCGCGUAAAGCUCUAUCGGCAGGGAAGAAGGAGGACGGUACCUGACUAAGAAGCACCGGCUAACUACGUGCCAGCAGCCGCGGUAAUACGCAGGGGGCACGCGUUAUCCGGUUUUACUGGGUGUAAAGGGGGCGCAGACGGCAGCGUAAGCCAGGAGUGAAAGCCCGGGGCCCAACCCCGGGACUGAUCUUGGAACUGCGCGGCUGGAGUGCAGGUGGGGCAGGCGGAAUGCCUGGUGUAGCGGUGAAAUGCGUAGAUAUCAGGAGGAACACCGGUGGGGAGGGCGGCCUGCUGGACGGCGACGGACGUUGAGGGCCGAAGGCGUGGGGAGCAAACAGGAUUAGAUACCCGGGUAGUC